UACGUAGGGGGCGAGCGUUGUCCGGAUUUAUUGGGCGUAAAGAGCGUGUAGGCGGUUCGGUAAGUCUGUCGUGAAAUCCCGAGGCUCAACCUCGGGCGUGCGAUGGAUACUGCCGGGCUAGAGGAUGGUAGAGGCGAGUGGAAUUCCCGGUGUAGCGGUGAAAUGCGCAGAUAUCGGGAGGAACACCAGUAGCGAAGGCGGCUCGCUGGGCCAUUCCUGACGCUGAGACGCGAAAGCUAGGGGAGCGAACAGG
rnacentral:rRNA from 1 species